rnacentral:lncRNA from 1 species
UGAAUGUUUAGACCGUCGGGAUGGAGUUGCAAACGCAGCAUGGACAGAGAUGGAGGAAAACAGGAAGAAAACUGGACCCGUUACAUGGCCUUUUUUUAUUUUGUUGUUGGGCUGAUUUUCUUCACAAUGGGUCUCUUUUUGCUUAAAAAUCGUAAACCCAAAUAAAAUACCCAAUGAAUUGUCUUGGUCUAUAAAUCAUAAUCCAUAUAAUUUCAUUUUCCCUUCAACUCCAAAUUUCAUUUCCCCCAAAUCGUGAAACUAUGAAAGGCAAUUGGGGUGAUUGGCAGCAAUAUAGAAUCCUCCAAGAAUCCACUGCUUCCGGUUUCUAAUUCUGUAGCCGACGCCAAAGGUAGCAAGAAAAGCCCCACCAUUACAAAGAAAGGUGCAUUUGCUGCCAUUUGUUACAUGGCUUGUGCUGGUUAGUGAUGAUUUUCUUUUCUUCCUCAGGAUUACCAGUUUAUGACAUGUCAUCUGUGUUCUUUUCCAGCUUAAAUCUGUGUUUUCCAGCUUAAAUUUGGGUUUUCAUUUUAGUGUAUGUGAUAUGUGGUUGUGUACCAUGCGUUAAGAGUUCCUGAAGGCCAUGGUGUUUUUUGAAGUAAUAUUUAUUUAUUUCUUACUUACUUUUGUAUCAAGAUGACAGCAAUACAGCACUUUUCUUCCAAAUAAUAUUUGUCUCAGUAUUAUGUUA